GCGUAUGUGAUUUGUGUAGUUUAGUGAUUCUUCUACUAAAGCUAAACAUUAUGUUGUUCUUGUUAACAAAACUCCAAUCAAGGGUCAGAGUUGCCGAGGUAGGGGGCACUGAACCUGUGUUCACUGUUUUCAAAAUAGGAGACACAAUCUGAUUGGCCAGUCAAACACAGUCUUCUCUGUGAAGAGCAGACAACGUACAGAGACCAUCUCAUUCCUCACAGCAUCUGAAGCACAAUGAGUCCUCCAAACUUUGCUUUGUAUUUCUCAUGUCUGUUCACUGUGAAUAUGGCUCAUAUGACAACUUUAAAACAGUCAUCACAUUUUGAAUCAGCUAAUGUUGGGGGAAGUGUGACUUUGCCAUGCCUCUGUCAAGAUCACAUAACAGUUAUGUUUUACUGGUAUAAGCAAACUCUGGGCGAAAAACCAAAGCUAGUAUUAACAUUUUAUAAGCAUAGUAAUAAUAGUGGAAACUUUUAUGAUGAAUUUAAAAACAAUCCACGUUUCACACUGGACAUCGGAAGGCAUACAAAUUACCUGAAGAUAUCAGAUCUGCUUGUUUCAGAUUCAGCUACUUACUACUGUGCGAUGAGCAAUUUGUAUACCUAUGAAUUCUGUGAGGGCACUACUGUCAGUGUAGAGGCUGGUGUGGCCUCUGGGGUCUUGGUGUAUUUCUUGAGCGGUGCUUUGGCAUUCACCACCAUCCUGGUUGUUUUGCUGGCUUUCUCAAUGUACAAGAUGCACAAAAGAAACUGCGUAUGUACAGACUCAGAAGUAACAUUUUCAGCUAACUCUGCUCCAAAUACAGAG